rnacentral:rRNA from 1 species
AUACGGAGGGCGCGAACGUUGCUCGGAAUCAUUGGGCGUAAAGCGCACGUAGGCGGCCUGAUAAGUCAAAUGUGAAAGCCCUCGGCUUAACCGAGGAAGUGCAUUCGAAACUGUCAGGCUUGAGUAUGGGAGAGGGUUGCGGAAUUCCCGGUGUAGAGGUGGAAUUCGUAGAUAUCGGGAGGAACACCAGCGGCGAAGGCGGCAGCCUGGACCAAUACUGACGCUGAGGUGCGAAAGCGUGGGGAGCAAACAGGAUUAGAAACCCCAGUAGUCC